AAAAGAAACUAACAAGGAUUCCCCUAGUAGCGGCGAGCGAAGCGGGAACAGCCCGGUAUGAAAAUCUCUUUGGAGAGUUGUAGUCCGAACACGCCUGGGUGGUCAGUGCGGGCAAGUCGUCUGGGAUGACGCGCCAUGGAGGGUGAGAGCCCCGUCCAACCUGCACAGGAUUUCACUCGUUACGGUGUGUUUUUAAACCGAGUCGGGUAGUUUGGGAAUGCUGCUCUAAUUUUGGUGGUAAAUCUCAUCAAAGGCUAAAUAAAAGUGGGAGACCGAUAGCGAACAAGUACCGUGAGGGAAAGAUGGAAAGAACUUUGAAAAGAGAGUGAAAAGCACUUGAAACCGUCAUGGGGGAAGCGAAUUGCGUUAGUGAUGUCUGUGGCUGUUCAGCUUUUGGUUUUUGGAGUGGCGAAAGUCAUUUCAUAGAAAGUGCAUUCUGGCACAGACAGGCCUGCGUGGCUGGCGGGAGUGUGACGAGACGGCGAAUGAGCGUGGCCGGGUCAUUUUAUGAUUCUGCUGCGCCUGUUCUGUCGACACUUGGCACUCGUUCGCUGGUGAGGGCUCCCCUGAAACACGGGUGAGGACGCUGGCGAAAUGACGCAAUACGACCCGUCUUGAAACACGGACCAAGGAGUCUAGCACGGCUGCGAGUCGAAGGGUGUGAAAAACCCAAUGGGCGCAGUGAAAGCGAAAACGUUGUUCUACGGGGCAUCGGCAAAGCCAAAUUGGGGAGGCGUUGUGGUUCUACCAAAAUGUCCUACCUUGAGCAGGUGUGCUGGGACCCGAAAGAUGGUGAACUAUGCCGGAGUAGGGCAAAGCCAGAGGAAACUCUGGUGGAGGCUCGUAGCGAUGCUGACGUGCAAAUCGCUCGUCGAACUUGGGUAUAGGGGCGAAAGACUAAUCGAACCAUCUAGUAGCUGGUUCCCUCCGAAGUUUCUCUCAGGAUAGCGGGCCGACAAAAACAAUGAAUGAAUGUUGUUCUGUGUGGUAAAGCGAAUGAUUAGUGCAUUUGGGGGCCGAAGGCCUUCGGGCGAUUCUCAAACUUUAAAUGCGCAGGGGGGCGGCUGCUUAAUAUGAGCCUGCUCUUUGAAAAACGUCGGCUCCGUGGGCCACUUUUGGUAAGCAGAACUGGCGAUAAGGGAUGAACCUUAAGCGCGGUUAAGGCGCCACAUUGCCCGCUUAUAGAGCCCACAAAAGGUGUUGAUUCAUUUAGACAGCAGGACGGUGGCCAUGGAAGUCGGAAUCCGCUAAGGAGUGUGUAACAACUCACCUGCCGAAUGAAUUAGCCCUGAAAAUGGAUGGCGCUGAAGCGGGCAGCCGACACCGCGCCGUUCGGACAAACGUAUGAAAAUAGGAAUCUUUUUUGGUCCGAAUGAGUAGGAGGGCGUGGCGGUCUGUGACGCAGGCGUGGGUGCAAACCCCGCUGAAACGGCCGCUAGUGCAGAUCUUGGUGGUAGUAGCAAAUAUUCAAGCGAGAACCUUGAAGGGCGAAGUGGGGAAGGGUUCCAUGCUAACAUUGAUUGGGCGUGGGUGAGUCGUUCCUAAGCCGAGUGGCAACUGCUAAGUAACGGCGAAAGGGAAGCGGGUUAAAAUUCCCGCACGCAGAUAUGGAGGCGGCAACGCAAGCAGAGGCGAAGACGCUGGCGAAGGCGCUGGGCAGAGUUUUCUUUUCUGUUUGACCGGCAUCGUGCUGUGUGGAAUCCGAUUAUCGGGAGAAACACGCACGGGUAGGGGCAGAGCGUCGGGUCAUAUCCGGCGUCCGGCUCGCCUUCGACGGCCCUUGAAAAUUCGCCCGCGGUUUUUGGGCUCAUUCUCUUUUGUUCCCCCGCUUGGAAUCCGUUUUAAUCGGGGGGCCAUCGUUUCUGGGCCUGAAUAUUCAAUUUCAUGCUGCGACGUACCGAUAACCGCAUCAGGUCCCCAAGGUGAACAGCCUCUGCUCAAUAUGAAUAAUGCAGGUAAGGGAAGUCGGCAAAAUGGACCCGUAACUUUGGGAAAAGGGUUGGCUCUAGUGAGGUGGGGGUCACUUGGCGUUUGUCAUCUUUUUGACCUACUCCAAAAGGGGGCUCUUGUGUGCUUGUUCGAGGCCCGUCUGUCUGGCUAGGGAGUUUCUUGCUUGGAUUCUUUUCUUCUUUUUCUGGGAAAUUCUUAGCCUCUUUCUGCGUGUUUUCUCUUUACCUCAUGUGUGUGCUGUUGGAAUUGUAAAAGGUUGCGAUGGCAUGUGUGUGUGUGUGUAUGAGAGGGGGCAUUGGGAGGGAGUUGGGGUUUUCUGGAGGGAGGGGAAAAGGCCGGGCGCUUGGAGGCACCCUGGCCGGGAUGGGCCAUGAGCAGGCGCGGAGGAUGCAUUCCCCGCCCUCAGCAUACCUCAGACUAGAACUGCAACGGGCAAAGGGAAUCCGACUGUUUAAUUAAAACAAAGCAUUGCGAAGGCCGUGGCCGGUGAUGACGCAAUGUGAUUUCUGCUCAGUGCUCUGAAUGUCAAAGUGAAGAAAUUCAAUCAAGCGCGGGUAAACAGCGGGAGUAACUAUGACUCUCUUAAGGUAGCCAAAUGCCUCGUCAUCUAAUUAGUGACGCGCAUGAAUGGAUUAACGAGAUUCCUACUGUCCCUAUCUGCUUCUAGCGAAACCACAGCCGAGGGAACGGGCUCGGCGGAAUCGGCGGGGAAAGAAGACCCUGUUGAGCUUGACUCUAUUCUAAUUUUGUGAAGCAAGUUAGGAGGUGUAGAAUAGGUGGGAGCUGUUCUUCCUUGUGUGGGGCAGCGGCCGUGAAAUACCACUACUCUUAAUCUUGCUUUACUUAGGGCGUAAAACUGUACGGGACUAGAAAAAGUGGCUCGUUUGUAACAGAAGGAGUGCAUCUUUUUUUUAUAAUCCUAUGAUUUUUAACUGCAUCAAGCGCGCGCUCCGUUUAUCGGGGUGUGCGUGAACUGGGCGCCCAACAGAUUUAGGAGGGGAGUUUGGCUGGGGCGGCACAUCUUCUACAAGACAACGAAGGUGUCCAAAGAUAAGCUCAGUGAGAACAGAAAUCUCACGUAGCGCAAAAGGGUAAAAGCUUGUUUGAUUUUGAUUUUCAGUGUGAGUUGAAAACGCGAAAGCGUGGCCUAUCGAUCCUUUCACGAUUCGAGAUUUGAAGCGAGAGGUGUCAGAAAAGUUACCACAGGGAUAACUGGCUUGUGGCGGCCAAGCGUUCAUAGCGACGUCGCUUUUUGAUC
rnacentral:rRNA from 2 species